GGUUACGUCGUUUAAGAAGGAUUUUAAAUUGCAAAUUUAAGGGUAAAUAAUAUUUCGUGACUU
rnacentral:tRNA from 1 species